ACAAUGGAGAGUUUGAUCCUGGCUCAGGAUGAACGCUAGCGGCAGGCUUAACACAUGCAAGUCGAGGGGUAACAGGGAAAAGCUUGCUUUUCCGCUGACGACCGGCGCACGGGUGCGUAACACGUAUGCAACCUACCUCUUACUGAAGGAUAGCCCAGAGAAAUUUGGAUUAAUACUUCAUAACACCACAAGAUCGCAUGAUCUAAUGGUUAAAGGUUACGGUAAGAGAUGGGCAUGCGUCCUAUUAGUUUGUUGGUGAGGUAAUGGCUCACCAAGACUACGAUGGGUAGGGGGUCUGAGAGGAUUAUCCCCCACACUGGUACUGAGACACGGACCAGACUCCUACGGGAGGCAGCAGUG
rnacentral:rRNA from 1 species